rnacentral:tRNA from 1 species
UCCCUGAUGGUUCAGUGGCUAAGACUCCGUACUUCCAAUGCAGGUGUCCUAAGUUUGAUCCCUGGUCAGGGAA